rnacentral:rRNA from 1 species
AACGAACGCUGGCGGCAUGCCUAACACAUGCAAGUCGAACGAGACCUUCGGGUCUAGUGGCGCACGGGUGCGUAACGCGUGGGAACCUGCCCUUGGGUUCGGAAUAACAGCUGGAAACGACUGCUAAUACCGGAUGAUGUCUUAAGUCCAAAGAUUUAUCGCCCUAGGAUGAGCCCGCGUUGGAUUAGCUAGUUGGUGAGGUAAAAGCCUACCAAGGCGACGAUCCUUAGCUGGUCUGAGAGGAUGAUCAGCCACACUGGGACUGAGACACGGCCCAGACUCCUACGGGAGGCAGCAGUGGGGAAUAUUGGACAAUGGGCGAAAGCCUGAUCCAGCAAUGCCGCGUGAGUGAUGAAGGCCUUAGGGUUGUAAAGCUCUUUUACCCGGGAUGAUAAUGACAGUACCGGGAGAAUAAGCUCCGGCUAACUCCGUG